UACGGAGGGGGCUAGCGUUGUUCGGAAUUACUGGGCGUAAAGGGCGCGUAGGCGGAUCUUUAAGUCGGGGGUGAAAGCCUGAGGCUCAACCUCAGAAUUGCCUUCGAUACUGGAGAUCUUGAGACCGGAAGAGGUAAGUGGAACUGCGAGUGUAGAGGUGAAAUUCGUAGAUAUUCGCAAGAACACCAGUGGCGAAGGCGGCUUACUGGUCCGGUUCUGACGCUGAGGCGCGAAAGCGUGGGGAGCAAACAGG
rnacentral:rRNA from 1 species